rnacentral:rRNA from 1 species
UAUUUCCUAUGGGGGGCAGCAGUAGGGAAUCUUCCACAAUGGGCGAAAGCCUGAUGGAGCAACGCCGCGUGGGUGAAGAAGGUCUUCGGAUCGUAAAACCCUGUUGUUAGAGAAGAAAGUGCGUGAGAGUAACUGUUCACGUUUCGACGGUAUCUAACCAGAAAGCCACGGCUAACUACGUGCCAGCAGCCGCGGUAAUACGUAGGUGGCAAGCGUUAUCCGGAUUUAUUGGGCGUAAAGGGAACGCAGGCGGCUUUUUAAGACUGAUGUGAAAGCCUUCGGCUUAACCGGAGUAGUGCACUGGA